rnacentral:rRNA from 1 species
UCGGCCUCGGGGCGCAGCAGUAGGGAAUCUUCCACAAUGGGCGAAAGCCUGAUGGAGCAACGCCGCGUGGGUGAAGAAGGUCUUCGGAUCGUAAAACCCUGUUGUUAGAGAAGAAAGUGCGUGAGAGUAACUGUUCACGUUUCGACGGUAUCUAACCAGAAAGCCACGGCUAACUACGUGCCAGCAGCCGCGGUAAUACGUAGGUGGCAAGCGUUAUCCGGAUUUAUUGGGCGUAAAGGGAACGCAGGCGGUAUUUUAAGUCUGAUGGGAAAGCCUUCGGCUUAACCGGAGUAGGGCAUGGGAAA